ACUCACCCCCAGCCACAGAGAUGAUCAAACUAAACACAGCCUGAACCAGAAAGGGUUCAGAAUCUUGGGGAGUUUUUAAUAGUUGUCUUUGCGUGAAAAUAAUUACAGUUAUUGCCUCAAUUGCUCCUGCUUUAUGUUAUGUACUUGCUACACACUCAAGUUUAGCAAAUAAAUUUUUUUCCUUGUAGGCAGGAUCUUGAGCAUGCAGGAGA
rnacentral:misc_RNA from 1 species